rnacentral:rRNA from 1 species
UACGGGGGGGGCAAGCGUUGUUCGGAAUUACUGGGCGUAAAGGGCUCGUAGGCGGCCAACUAAGUCCGACGUGAAAUCCCCAGGCUUAACCUGGGAACUGCAUUGGUGACUGGCAGGCUUUGAGUGUGGCAGAGGGAGGUAGAAUUCCACGUGUAGCAGUGAAAUGCGUAGAGAUGUGGAGGGAUACCGAUGGCGAAGGCAGCCUCCUGGGCCAACACUGACGCUCAUGCACGAAAGCGUGGGGAGCAAACAGG